GUCCAGGUAUCGCCAAUGUCUAACCUCAAAAAUAAUGUUCCCCGCGAAAAUACAGAAGCCUAUGUCCAGAUUUUAGGGACAGGAAUGGAUACCCACGAAACAUCCCCGUCUGUUCUGCUCUUCUUUAAAAAGGAAAGAUUCAUAUUUAACGCUGGAGAGGGAUUACAACGCUUCUGUACAGAGCAUAAGAUAAAAUUAUCUCAG